GGGACCCGCUCAGCCACUUCAAGGCCCUCCUCUCUGUCCUUACUUGCUUUGUCCCGCAGUAUCUUCCGGCUCUGGCGAAACUUGGAGCAUAUGUAAAAAGGAACCACUGAAAAAUGUGCUUGCAUUUGAAUGGGAAACCCAAAUGUUAAAGAAAAAGAAAAGGACAUGCCAGAACAACCAAGCAACCUGGCUGGGAACAUCCAAAAAUAAAAGAAGAGGUAAAAUAUUAAGAUUUCGGAACAGCCCCGGGUUGGGCGCCAUUGUGAGUAAGUUCUGGGUUCAUAUCCGGCUGUUCCUGUCCUUGGGUCAAAAACGAUAAAGCAGAAUUUUGAAUAAAAGAAUUU